ensembl:lncRNA
GUAGUUGUGGUAGUUACAGCAUGAUACAGCAUGGUAGUUGUGGUAGUUAUGAUACGUUAUGGUAGUUGUGGUAGUUACAGCAUGAUACGGCAUGGUAGUGUGUGGUAGUCCUGCCUGCUUUAUGGGGACAUUAAUAUUGCAGCUCAUAUGUUUUGCUGCAGGUGAGCAGGGAGGUGAAGAGGCACUGACCCACUUCAAUAAUGAGGUACAAUGAGAUCCAAUCCGAAAGCCAGCGAGGGAAGUCUAUAUUUUAUUCAUAUGGAUAUUAACACUGGGGAGGGGGAGAAGACACUGAUUAAUAUCAAUAUCUUGACAAAAGGAAGUGUCUCUAAAACGGCCGGCUAAUUUGUGCUCUGCAGAAACACUUUUAUGAAAAAGACAAAAAGCUGGGUGAUUAAUUUGGGCUCGUAGGGCCAAAACCCCCCACAACCCACACACACACACACAGACACACACAUUCACACUGCUUCAUUCCUCCCCAAAAGUGGUACCGGUGUUUAGAGCUACACUAGUUGAGCACAGGGGAGGUUCAGCUGCGGAAUGCACCAGAGUUAUGAUGGCGGGAGCCCACGCACUCUGUAAGGUUCCCCCGUAGAUGCAGUUAAUGGAUGCACACAAUGAGCCUCAAUGGCCCUGCGAUGAUGGAUGUGGGCCACUGUGUGAAAGGCUCCACAGACAAACCAGCCAGGACAACUUAGAAAAGUGGUAGGAGAGCAAGAGGAGGGGAGCGUACACUGCAGAAAUGUUGCCAGGGAACAUUUGGAGAAAUAUAAUUGCGGUGCAGUAUUCCUGAGCGGGGUUUUAAUUGCGCAGAGAGGGAAACAGAUUGGCUGAGAAUCUUGCUGAGGAACCCAGAAGUGUCUGAGCUGGAAAUGAGCUUGAAUGCAUGUGUGUCACAUAAUGGUGUGGGACAAUGAAUAGAUUUAAUUUCACUUUUUUUCUGGCCAAAACAGUCUCAAUUAACAAUAUUAUCUAGACAAUACAUUAUUUAUUUAAAAAAAAGUCAAAUAAUUUACAUUUCGUUAAAAAACGAAUACUUAAAUUCAUCAGAGAGAAGUUAAUAAAGAGUCUCUAAUACAUGAUCAUAAAUCAUAAGGUCAUAAGGAUGAAGUAGAUUUUUAAAUAAUUAUUCCUUUAAUUAUAAAAACAGUCUAUUAUUUCCAUCCCUCUACCAUAAUAACAAAGUCACUCGUCUGACAAUAUUUAAAAUGAUUUCAUUCAAGGAAAAAAUCUUUUCUUGACCCAGAAUUAAAACCUGUAUCGUCUCUAAUAUACAAAUACAAAUUUGUACAAAAUAGACAAAAGAAUCAAGAAUAUAAAUAUAAAAUAUUAAGAUCAGACGAACAAGCAUGUUUACUAUGGACAUAGUUCUGUUGAAACAGAUAAAAGGAACAAACUAACAUUCACUGAAUAAUCCUUGAGAAGAAGACCUGAUGUUAUGUCUUGAUUUCCUGUUGUGUCUGAGUGCAUAACAAUGAGACUUGCAUUCACGCUUUCAUAUUGUUCAUGUUUUAACACUUGAGUGUGGGUGUCUUCUUUUAGCGUUGGAGCUAUAAAGGUCAUCUCAACUAGCACUCAAAUAUUCCUCUACAUACAGUGUACUGAACCAUGACCUCAACAGUUUUUAUUUCUAGUUGCUUUUUUAUUGUAAUUAAAAAAUAUGUAAAUAAGUAAUAAGUAAAUGUCACGAAUUUUUUGACUUUUAACCCCCAAAUAGUUCCUACUUAUCGGCUUAAUCCAUAAUGUACUUUGUUUUACUUUGUUUUCUCAUAAAUUUAAACCAUGUUUUGAGUUUCUCAACGGACUGCAAGAGCACCAAAGUCCCAUUUGGCCGUUGACCUUCACAAAACCACACAGUCACGCCCUAAUUGGCGCCGGUGCAAAACUCACCAGCCAAACCUGCUCCGCGCCUCGUGGAACAAUCAGAAGAGCCCCGGCCUGCUGCAGUAACAGCGAAUACGGCCAACGCCGUACCGCGGUAGUGAGCAUUAUCUACGGCGCCACUUGGCCGACUGCGUCUCGCCCACAGCGAAUCACCCCAUUACGGUUUUCUUUUUCCUCCUUAUACUUGGCCUGCCCCCAUCAGCACCUCGUCCCGAGGGGCAGCCAUUAGGCCCAAAGCAGGAGCCUCCACUCAGGGUCUGAUGGAUGUGCCUGGUGGGUGCGCUCGUCGCAUUGGGGGGGCGGGGGUGCGGACCCUACACCGACGGAGGUGAUUAUGCACAGUGGGCCCAUUGUGAACGUUCUGCAGUGGGAGGGCGCAGGCUGCUGCAUUGCCGGUGUGAUUGCGGUGCGUCGGAGAUGACCGGGGGGGGGGCUCUCGCCCUCUGACCUCUGCUCCGAUGUUUACCGCUUCCUGUCGUCACACACCAGGUAACAGCAGAAGUGUGGGGGGGGCAUAAAAGGGCGGCCGAUCGGUUUCCUCCGCGGUCGCAGCCAUCCCGAAGCCAUCGCUUGACACCGUGGUCCGCUAGUUAUGAUGAAUGGUAUGAAGCCGCACCCCACAUUCCGUCUGCUGAACUGCAGUGUCAGAGGAACUUUGUGUUUCGCUGCAGUGGCCUCGUCCUGCCCUUCUCCCGUAUCGUGUUCUGUUCCAAUGAGCAGCUCCGCUCGGGCCUGUCACUACUCCCCUUUCUUUCCCAGACCGGAGCCUGGUCACAUGGAGGAAAAGGGGGAGGGAGGAUUCAACAAUGGGCUCCAUAUAACCAAGAAAACUAGUAUUUACUGCAAGCGAUGCUCAAAAAGUGCGAUUCAAGACAGAAUGAAUGUGCCAGUUGGACGGCGGCUAAUCACACAUUUGUCAAAAGGGGCUUUUUUUCGCGCCGUGAAUCUGUUUUGGCUCCGGCUCGUGACGCCUGUCAAGGCGCUGAACACGUGUUGUGUCUCGAGCGCCCCGCCGAACGUUACAUAAACACAGAUAAAUAGGGCGUAGCAGGAACAGCAUACAGCGAUGCUUCCCCGGGGAUUGUCAUUUAUCGUUGGUUGUUUUUGAUUGUUUAAAGCGCGAGCAUGUGAGGCAUGUGUCUCAUAUUCUCUUAUCUGCUCGGCAUUCGUUGCAUUUGGAGAUGACAGGCUAAACAAACACCGCAUUCGCCUUUUCCAAAUCAUAACUGGUCCCACAUGGCCCCGCAAUGAUAAGUGGGUGUUUUCUAAUCGGGUUAAGUAAACCCGGGCAGCGAUCCGCUCCCUCCUGGAGGCGUUCUCCUUCUCCGUGUCAUCGCGCCGGACCUCUCUAAGCCCAGUUCACGGUCUCACUCGUCUGAGACGAAUACCAAAGCUCGGUGCAUCCGAUAAUGAAACAGCAGUGACGGGAGAAGAAGGUCACAUUGACUCCACGGCUAAUCUCCAUCCUCUCCAGUCAAGCACACACGGUGACAGACAAAUGAGCUGCUCUCAGAUGCAUUAACACCACAAACAAAUCCGCCAUUCUGCAUCCAGUUGCAAUGCCCAGGCGACGGCGUCUCCCCUUGGCGUCCCGCAGGGCGAUCUCUCCGUCAGCCGCGUGACGCGGGGCCUGAUGAUGACUCUAUCACAGGUGACAGUGACAAGCAGGUCCCUCAUCACACCUCAUGUACAAGUGAUGUCAGAACAGCUGCGCGCUUCAAAAGAAAAGCCCGCGUGUCCUCAUUUGUUGCUUUCCGCCACUUCAUCAUCCGGACACAAUGACACCAGGUAGCCGAGGCGGAUACUGUGAAAGUCACUAAAGAGGAGGCAUUGUUUCAUUUGAGAUGAAAAUAUAUUAUCUCCUCGUCUUAAGGGGCCGAGAGAAGCCACCUGCCAGAACCCCCCCCAAAAAAACAAUCUUUAAAUAUAAAUAAAGCUAAAGCUUACAGAUCACCACGCGAAAAAGAAAAGCAUCACAUCACACACAAUCAUUAAAAAACACAAACAGCAUGUGUUUAUUGAGGAUCCACCUUCAGCAGCAGGCUAACACAGAAGCGCUAAGACGCGUGGCUAUGAUUGGCCGGGCUGCGUCGGAGAGGGCGGGACUUGGCAAAUGGUCAACUGGUAAUGUAACAGCAACACCUGAAGCUGAAGUGCAGGUCCACACACGUGUCGGCCAUACGUGAGCAUGGCUUUGAUAUUGUGCUGUUAUACCAGCAGGACGAUUUCCCUUCUUUCAUCUGCAGCUCAGUUGUUACAACUAGAUGGCACAAUAUAUGGCUGCUCAUAUUUAAAACGUUUGUCAUUUGCCCCAAAAUAAUAGUGUUUGUGUGUGUGUGUGUGUGUGUGUGUGCGCGUGUAGCAGGAAGGAUCUGGCACCGAGCACACGGCUGCUAUAACCGUCCCACUCUCACAGUUUGGAAGGUGCCAGAGAAGUCAAAGUGAUUCCAACACGCCAUGUGUUCCAAUUCUUCUCAAUUUAGUUAAAAGCGAAAGGGGUAAAAACGUGCGGACUGCACAUUAUCCUGUUGGUGUGUCUUUGCUCCACCCGGGACUUGUUCGGGUGGGGAAGCGUGUGCUCCACCCUCAGCUGAUCGUUCUGACGAUCCAGCCGGCGGCGUCUCUGCCGUGUGGCGUUGACCUCAUGCUUCUAGUUCCUGCAGAGACCCCCAGUAGGGACACACAUUCGUUCGCUUCACUUCUGUGGAGGCUAAAAGUUAUUCCUUUUAUUGGGUUGUUUUUUUUGCACCAGAGACCCUCAGCUUUCCCCUAUAAGACGUGCAUUCCUUGUUAGAUGUCCGUGUGACACAGAAGGUGGAGGACGUGUGCUCAGGUCUGUUAGGACGUAUCACAUUAGCAUUCCUAACUACUGCCAUCGCUUCAAUCAGCAGAGACAAGACGGAGAAAGACAGAUAAUUGUUCGUGAUUAAUAAAUGAUACGAUGAAGACAAAGUCUUCUUGGUCUCAGACUCUACAGGGAGGUUUGUAAUCGGUCUGCCCUGAGCAGCAGGAUGAAUCCCCCCCCCCCCCCCGUGGAGUCCGAACACUGGUGGAGCUGAAUGAUGAGCUGAUGAAGCUCGGGCGGAGAUGUGGAGGUGAAGUGACAGCAGCAAGGUGACAGGCUGGGGUCCCCCUGCCCCCCCACACACACACUAUAUUCAGCGGCAGAUCGCCGUGGUUAUUUUAAGCCAAAGGACCCAAACUUAUUCUUAAUAGGAUUUUGUUUUAUUGGGAAGAAGUUCUUUAUGAAAAAGAGUGGAAAUUGUCACGUGUCGCGGAAAAAUGAGGAUGUCACAUGAACCGUUAAGAAGAUACGUUGAAUACUCACAUGAUCAUGUAGGUUUCUGAUAAGAUGUAACCUUCUACAACCAGCCUUUUGUUUGUUACGGCAAUGAGAGAUACCAAGUCCCACUACCGUCCUGUGCGGGUUGUGGACGGAUGUCUCCUCCGAGGCGGCGUGGAACCGCUGAUGUGCUUUAAGGCUCACUAAUUAACACAUUAGCCUGCGAGCAUUCUAAUCUGAUGAGUGUGAAAUGUUCCUGGUUUCCCAGGAGGUUCUUUGCUCUAGAAUAAGUUUGCCCGGCGCAUUUUGUACGUACAAAGUCCCCUCAAACAGAGCUGUGCGCUCUCCAGUCGUACUGCUGAGCUUGAGUGACGGAC